rnacentral:rRNA from 1 species
CCGCCGUGAACUUAGCAGGGCUUCUUUGGGGUAGACACCGGGUGUCUUUAAAUGUGGUCGCACGUUUGGGAGGCCUUCCUAGUACCGCGUACCGUGUUGUACGGAUGCAGCCUUGGCGUUUGGAUGCAGCCUUGUGGCGUCCGUUGUCGCGUGAGGGCGCCCGACAAGGCUAACGCGAACGCGUCGGUUCGCUCGAGGCGAGUUGUCCGGUUGUACGUGGGAACCGAAGGAGUUUUUCGAGACUGCCACCCGGCCCCGUUUUUUUUUUGUCAACGUACUUGCGACUGUAACGUAUCGAGAAAGGAAAAACGAGAGACAACUUUUAACGGUGGAUCUCUUGGCUCGUGCAUCGAUGAAGAACGCAGCCAGCUGCGAUAAGUAGUGUGAAUUGCAGAAUUCAGUGAAUCAUCGAAUCUUUGAACGCAAAUGGCGCUCUCGGGUUCUCCCGGGAGCAUGUCUGUUUGAGUGUCGGCAUACCUUGCCAUCGCAUGAGAAGACCGUGCGGCGUUGAGGCGUCGCGGCGCGAGGCCGCGUCCCUCGAAAUGGAGGAGAACCGCUGGUUAGCGAUUCCCGGAGGCCGAAAAGAUGUUGGUUCCCCGGGAAAGCCGGCUCGGUUCGCGAGUAGUGACGAAUCCAAUCUCGACCUCA